rnacentral:rRNA from 1 species
GAUGAACGCUGGCGGCGUGCCUAAUACAUGCAAGUCGAGCGAAUGGAUUAAGAGCUUGCUCUUAUGAAGUUAGCGGCGGACGGGUGAGUAACACGUGGGUAACCUGCCCAUAAGACUGGGAUAACUCCGGGAAACCGGGGCUAAUACCGGAUAACAUUUUGAACCGCAGGGUUCGAAAUUGAAAGGUGGCUUCGGCUGUCACUUAUGGAUGGACCCGCGUCGCAUUAGCUAGUUGGUGAGGUAACGGCUCACCAAGGCAACGAUGCGUAGCCGACGUGAGGGGGUGAUCGGCCACACUGGGACUGAGACACGGCCCAGACUCCUACCGGAGGCAGCAGUAGGGAAUCUUCCGCAAUGGACGAAAGUCUGACGGAGCAACGCUGCUGGAGUGAUGAAGGCUUUCGGGUCGUAAAACUCUGUUGUUAGGGAAGAACAAGUGCUAGUUGAAUAAGCUAGCACCUUGACGGUACCUAACCAGAAAGCCACGGCUAACUACGUGCCAGCCGCCGCGGUAA